rnacentral:rRNA from 1 species
AUUGAACGCUGGCGGCAGGCCUAACACAUGCAAGUCGAACGAGUGGCGGACGGGUGAGUAAUUUCUGGGAAACUGCCCGAUGGAGGGGGAUAACUACUGGAAACGGUAGCUAAUACCGCAUACCAUCGGAUGUGCCCAGAUUGGAUUAGCUAGUAGGUGGGGUAAUGGCUCACCUCGGCGACGAUCCCUAGCUGGUCUGAGAGGAUGACCAGCCACACUGGAACUAGGACACGGGCCAGACGCCAACGGGAGGCAGCAGUGGGGAAUAUUGCACAAUGGGCGCAAGCCUGAUGCAGCCAGGCCGCGUGUAUGAAGAAGGCCUUCGGGUUGUAAAGUACUUUCAGCGAGGAGGCGUGACUCGAAGAAGAAGCACCGGCUAACUCCGUGCCAGCAGCCGCGGUAAUAA